rnacentral:lncRNA from 1 species
GAUCACUGGGCACCAUCCUGGGGGGUGUAUCUAUGCGUCUGUGUUACCGUGGCCCACCUGACCUCAUCCCUGCUAACCAAAGACUUGACUCCCCCUGCAAGACUCUACUCAGGAGAGGACUUCUCCAAAGGUUUAAGCAAAGGCCCAGAAAUUUGCGCAUCACAGCCAAAGGAGGGGGCGGGGAGGGAUCCACUGCCAAGAGGUGAGGUUGGGAAUAACUUGGUAGUGAUGGUUUUGGGCAGAAAAGGUAGGCCAGACUAGUGUUUAGGCCAGCCUGUGAAGUUCAGACAUAAAAGGGGACUUCCAGGCAGUGGGUGUGGGGUGUGAACUUGGAAUAACCAAUGAAAAUAGCCUUUAAGAGGAAUCUGGCAUCUGUACCAGAGGGAAGAGGAAAAAGAAGGGGAGGCUGUAUGUGUUAUUGUGUGUGUGUUGGGGAAGGGACCGAGCGAGCUGGGAGAGAAGCAUAUCCUAUAACCUCAAAAUGCGCUCUCAUGGGCUGGCAGCAUUGGCACCAGGGAGAACUGCAGAAUUUCCAGUCUUACCUCAGAACUAAGGAAUCACAACCUGCAUCUUCAUCAGAUCUGGCAGACAAUUCACAGGCACAUUGGAGUGUGAGACGCAUUGUCUUAGAGCAAAGAAUUCAGGUUUUGUGCUUGGCUGGAUAUAAGCCACGAAGUGCAGCUAUGAAGGCAGGCUGGCCUUGGAGAGCUGGGCCUUCCUCAAGGGCCAGCUUCAGUUCCCUCAGUUCACUGUGGGAGGGCAGCCACAGUGGCAACAAGAGUCAAAAGCCAGGACACGUCUCCACGCCUCUGCCCGGAAUGUCCUGCUGCAUUCAUUCUGUCCUUUUAAGACUCAAACCCCUCUUCAGAGGCUUUCCUGGAUGCUCUGCUUAUCCCCACUUUCCCCCUAGAGGGGAUUAUUCUCCCCAGCCUGCGUCCACAUUGCACCACGGUCCCUCAGAUGUGUUCAACACACUCACUUGGACCUGUUUUCAAGUUGUCUCUCCUUUGACUCUGUUCCUCAAUUUAUCUCUGAAUUCCCGGUGGACAGCACAGGGCCUGUUUGUGGUCCACAGUGGGUUUUUCAUAAACGUGUGCUGA